AAAUUGAAGAGUUUGAUCAUGGCUCAGAUUGAACGCUGGCGGCAGGCCUAACACAUGCAAGUCGAACGGUAACAGAAAGCAGCUUGCUGCUUUGCUGACGAGUGGCGGACGGGUGAGUAAUGUCUGGGAAACUGCCCGAUGGAGGGGGAUAACUACUGGAAACGGUAGCUAAUACCGCAUAGCGUCGCAAGACCAAAGAGGGGGACCUUAGGGCCUCUUGCCAUCGGAUGUGCCCAGAUGGGAUUAGCUAGUAGGUGGGGUAAAGGCUCACCUAGGCGACGAUCCCUAGCUGGUCUGAGAGGAUGACCAGCCACACUGGAACUGAGACACGGUCCAGACUCCUACGGGAGGCAGCAGUGGGGAAUAUUGCACAAUGGGCGCAAGCCUGAUGCAGCCAUGCCGCGUGUAUGAAGAAGGCCUUCGGGUUGUAAAGUACUUUCAGCGGGGAGGAAGGGAGUAAAGUUAAUACCUUUGCUCAUUGACGUUACCCGCAGAAGAAGCACCGGCUAACUCCGUGCCAGCAGCCGCGGUAAUACGGAGGGUGCAAGCGUUAAUCGGAAUUACUGGGCGUAAAGCGCACGCAGGCGGUUUGUUAAGUCAGAUGUGAAAUCCCCGGGCUCAACCUGGGAACUGCAUCUGAUACUGGCAAGCUUGAGUCUCGUAGAGGGGGGUAGAAUUCCAGGUGUAGCGGUGAAAUGCGUAGAGAUCUGGAGGAAUACCGGUGGCGAAGGCGGCCCCCUGGACGAAGACUGACGCUCAGGUGCGAAAGCGUGGGGAGCAAACAGGAUUAGAUACCCUGGUAGUCCACGCCGUAAACGAUGUCGACUUGGAGGUUGUGCCCUUGAGGCGUGGCUUCCGGAGCUAACGCGUUAAGUCGACCGCCUGGGGAGUACGGCCGCAAGGUUAAAACUCAAAUGAAUUGACGGGGGCCCGCACAAGCGGUGGAGCAUGUGGUUUAAUUCGAUGCAACGCGAAGAACCUUACCUGGUCUUGACAUCCACGGAAGUUUUCAGAGAUGAGAAUGUGCCUUCGGGAACCGUGAGACAGGUGCUGCAUGGCUGUCGUCAGCUCGUGUUGUGAAAUGUUGGGUUAAGUCCCGCAACGAGCGCAACCCUUAUCCUUUGUUGCCAGCGGUCCGGCCGGGAACUCAAAGGAGACUGCCAGUGAUAAACUGGAGGAAGGUGGGGAUGACGUCAAGUCAUCAUGGCCCUUACGACCAGGGCUACACACGUGCUACAAUGGCGCAUACAAAGAGAAGCGACCUCGCGAGAGCAAGCGGACCUCAUAAAGUGCGUCGUAGUCCGGAUUGGAGUCUGCAACUCGACUCCAUGAAGUCGGAAUCGCUAGUAAUCGUGGAUCAGAAUGCCACGGUGAAUACGUUCCCGGGCCUUGUACACACCGCCCGUCACACCAUGGGAGUGGGUUGCAAAAGAAGUAGGUAGCUUAACCUUCGGGAGGGCGCUUACCACUUUGUGAUUCAUGACUGGGGUGAAGUCGUAACAAGGUAACCGUAGGGGAACCUGCGGUUGGAUCACCUCCUUACCUUAAAGAAGC
rnacentral:rRNA from 1 species